rnacentral:rRNA from 1 species
AUCAGGUAGGGAUACCCGCUGAACUUAAGCAUAUCAAUAAGCGGAGGAAAAGAAACUAACAAGGAUUCCCCUAGUAGCGGCGAGCGAAGCGGGAAGAGCUCAAAUUUAUAAUCUGGCACCUUCGGUGUCCGAGUUGUAAUCUCUAGAAGUGUUUUCCGCGUUGGACCGCACACAAGUCUGUUGGAAUACAGCGGCACAGUGGUGAUACCCCCGUACACGGUGCGGACGCCCAGCGCUUUGUGAUACACUUUCAAUGAGUCGAGUUGUUUGGGAAUGCAGCUCAAAUUGGGUGGUAAAUUCCAUCUAAAGCUAAAUAUUGGCGA